rnacentral:rRNA from 1 species
AGUCGCCGCGGGAAUACGGAGGGGGCUAGCGUUGUUCGGAAUUACUGGGCGUAAAGCGCACGUAGGCGGCUUGGUAAGUUAGAGGUGAAAGCCCGGAGCUCAACUCCGGAAUUGCCUUUAAGACUGCCGAGCUAGUAGGUGAGAGAGGUAAGUGGAAUUCCGAGUGUAGAGGUGAAAUUCGUAGAUAUUCGGAAGAACACCAGUGGCGAAGGCGGCUUACUGGCUCAUUCUAGACGCCGAGGUGCGAAAGCGUGGGGAGCAAACAGGAUUAGAUACCCGCGUAGUCCCUGUCUCUUAUACA